GUGGGUGUAGUUCAAUUGGCAGAGCGCCAGGUUGUGGCCCUGGAGGUCGCAGGUUCGAAACCUGUCACCCACCCCA
rnacentral:tRNA from 1 species